GACGUAGGGUGCAAGCGUUGUCCGGAAUUAUUGGGCGUAAAGAGUUCGUAGGCGGUUACUUAAGUCUGGUGUUAAAGCCCGAUGCUCAACGUCGGCAUGGCAUUGGAAACUGGGUAGCUAGAGUGUGUCAGAGGUUACGGGAAUUCCUGGUGUAGCGGUGAAAUGCGUAGAUAUCAGGAGGAACACCGGUGGCGAAGGCGGGUCUCUGGGCCGAUACUGACGCUGAGGAGCGAAAGCGCGGGGAGCAAACAGG
rnacentral:rRNA from 1 species